GUUGGUUUCUGUUUGUGGCGGUCUGAGAUGCUGAUACAAGAGCCAAGAACGGGGAAUCCCUGGAGGCCAAGAUGAGCAGGCCAGCAGCUGAGAUGAGAAGCGGCAGGGAGGAUACCAGUGACUGGCCUAGUUCUGAUUCUCGGAUGCCCAAGUGGUCCAGGAGGCCAGAGUAAGGACCAAAAUGGGGCAGAAAUCAGCUGGAGAUCAAAGUCGUCAGGAAGCCAGGAAAGCAUGGAAACUUAAAAGAGCCCAGUUCAAAGACUUUCACAGGGCUAGGCUGCUGGACAAGUGAGCAUCAAGGUCGUCUUGAUUCAACCUCCCCAUUCCCACUGCCGAGAUUUCACUGGCUCAUCACCACACCUGGCUUUUUUUCUAAAACAUGGGUUCUUGGGAUCAAAUACAGAUCUCCAC